UACAGAGGGUGCGAGCGUUUAAUCGGAAUUACUGGGCGUAAAGCGUGCGUAGACGGUUAUUUAAGUCGGAUGUGAAAGCCCCGGGCUCAACCUGGGAAUUGCAUUCGAGACUGAAUAGCUAGGGUGCGGUAGAGGGAAGCGGAAUUUCCGGUGUAGCGGUGAAAUGCGCAGAUAUCGGGAGGAACACCUAUUGCGAAGGCAGCUCGCUGGGACGUCACUGACGCUGAGACGCGAAAGCGUGGGGAGCAAACAGG
rnacentral:rRNA from 1 species